rnacentral:rRNA from 1 species
CAGCAGCCGCGGUAAUACGUAGGUGGCAAGCGUUGUCCGGAAUUAUUGGGCGUAAAGGGCUCGCAGGCGGUUUCUUAAGUCUGAUGUGAAAGCCCCCGGCUCAACCGGGGAGGGUCAUAGGAAACUGGGAAACUUGAGUGCAGAAGAGGAGAGUGGAAUUCCACGUGUAGCGGUGAAAUGCGUAGAGAUGUGGAGGAACACCAGUGGCGAAGGCGACUCUCUGGUCUGUAACUGACGCUGAGGAGCGAAAGCGUGGGGAGCGAACAGGAUUAGAUACCCCCGUAGUCCCUGUCUCUUAUAC